rnacentral:rRNA from 1 species
ACUUAAAUUGAAGAGUUUGAUCAUGGCUCAGAUUGAACGCUGGCGGCAGGCCUAACACAUGCAAGUCGAGCGGUAGCACAGAGAGCUUGCUCUCGGGUGACGAGCGGCGGACGGGUGAGUAAUGUCUGGGAAACUGCCUGAUGGAGGGGGAUAACUACUGGAAACGGUAGCUAAUACCGCAUAACGUCGCAAGACCAAAGUGGGGGACCUUCGGGCCUCAUGCCAUCAGAUGUGCCCAGAUGGGAUUAGCUAGUAGGUGGGGUAACGGCUCACCUAGGCGACGAUCCCUAGCUGGUCUGAGAGGAUGACCAGCCACACUGGAACUGAGACACGGUCCAGACUCCUACGGGAGGCAGCAGUGGGGAAUAUUGCACAAUGGGCGCAAGCCUGAUGCAGCCAUGCCGCGUGUGUGAAGAAGGCCUUCGGGUUGUAAAGCACUUUCAGCGGGGAGGAAGGCGUUAAGGUUAAUAACCUUAGCGAUUGACGUUACCCGCAGAAGAAGCACCGGCUAACUCCGUGCCAGCAGCCGCGGUAAUACGGAGGGUGCAAGCGUUAAUCGGAAUUACUGGGCGUAAAGCGCACGCAGGCGGUCUGUCAAGUCGGAUGUGAAAUCCCCGGGCUCAACCUGGGAACUGCAUUCGAAACUGGCAGGCUAGAGUCUUGUAGAGGGGGGUAGAAUUCCAGGUGUAGCGGUGAAAUGCGUAGAGAUCUGGAGGAAUACCGGUGGCGAAGGCGGCCCCCUGGACAAAGACUGACGCUCAGGUGCGAAAGCGUGGGGAGCAAACAGGAUUAGAUACCCUGGUAGUCCACGCCGUAAACGAUGUCGAUUUGGAGGUUGUGCCCUUGAGGCGUGGCUUCCGGAGCUAACGCGUUAAAUCGACCGCCUGGGGAGUACGGCCGCAAGGUUAAAACUCAAAUGAAUUGACGGGGGCCCGCACAAGCGGUGGAGCAUGUGGUUUAAUUCGAUGCAACGCGAAGAACCUUACCUGGUCUUGACAUCCACAGAACUUUCCAGAGAUGGAUUGGUGCCUUCGGGAACUGUGAGACAGGUGCUGCAUGGCUGUCGUCAGCUCGUGUUGUGAAAUGUUGGGUUAAGUCCCGCAACGAGCGCAACCCUUAUCCUUUGUUGCCAGCGGUCCGGCCGGGAACUCAAAGGAGACUGCCAGUGAUAAACUGGAGGAAGGUGGGGAUGACGUCAAGUCAUCAUGGCCCUUACGACCAGGGCUACACACGUGCUACAAUGGCAUAUACAAAGAGAAGCGACCUCGCGAGAGCAAGCGGACCUCAUAAAGUAUGUCGUAGUCCGGAUUGGAGUCUGCAACUCGACUCCAUGAAGUCGGAAUCGCUAGUAAUCGUAGAUCAGAAUGCUACGGUGAAUACGUUCCCGGGCCUUGUACACACCGCCCGUCACACCAUGGGAGUGGGUUGCAAAAGAAGUAGGUAGCUUAACCUUCGGGAGGGCGCUUACCACUUUGUGAUUCAUGACUGGGGUGAAGUCGUAACAAGGUAACCGUAGGGGAACCUGCGGUUGGAUCACCUCCUUACCUUAAAGAA